rnacentral:lncRNA from 1 species
UGAGCGCGUACGACUUGGUGCUGGCUGAGGAUGAGGAGAUGAAUCGCAUGCAUGAGAGCAUGAAGCUGUUUGAUAGCAUCUGCAAUAAUAAGUGGUUCACAGACACCUCCAUCAUCCUCUUCCUCAACAAGAAGGACCUGUUUGAAGAGAAGAUCACACAGAGCCCCCUGACCAUCUGUUUCCCUGAGUACACAGGGGCCAACAAGUAUGACGAGGCAGCCAGCUACAUCCAGAGCAAGUUUGAGGACCUGAAUAAACGCAAAGACACCAAGGAGAUCUACACGCACUUCACAUGCGCCACCGACACCAAGAACGUGCAGUUUGUGUUUGAUGCCGUCACUGACGUCAUCAUCAAGAACAACCUGAAGGACUGUGGCCUCUUCUGAGGGGCAGUGGGCCUGGCAGGAUGGGAGCCUCCUGCCUACCCCACUCUCUGCCGCUUGGAGGCCCCAAAGGAAAAAGCACAAGAAGCGUGAGAGACACCACCAUUCCUGGAGACAAAGCCCACCUGCUCAUUCUCGUAGCUUUAAAAAAAAGGAAAAGGAAAGGAG